rnacentral:rRNA from 1 species
CCCGAAUGGGGAAACCCAGUGUGUUUCGACACACUAUCAUUAACUGAAUCCAUAGGUUAAUGAGGCGAACCGGGGGAACUGAAACAUCUAAGUACCCCGAGGAAAAGAAAUCAACCGAGAUUCCCCCAGUAGCGGCGAGCGAACGGGGAGGAGCCCAGAGCCUGAAUCAGCAUGUGUGUUAGUGGAAGCGUCUGGAAAGGCGCGCGAUACAGGGUGACAGCCCCGUACACAAAAGCGCAUGUGCUGUGAGCUCGAUGAGUAGGGCGGGACACGUGGUAUCCUGUCUGAAUAUGGGGGGACCAUCCUCCAAGGCUAAAUACUCCUGACUGACCGAUAGUGAACCAGUACCGUGAGGGAAAGGCGAAAAGAACCCCGGCGAGGGGAGUGAAAAAGAACCUGAAACCGUGUACGUACAAGCAGUGGGAGCACCCUUUGGGGUGUGACUGCGUACCUUUUGUAUAAUGGGUCAGCGACUUAUAUUCUGUAGCAAGGUUAACCGAAUAGGGGAGCCGGAGGGAAACCGAGUCUUAAUUGGGCGUUAAGUUGCAGGGUAUAGACCCGAAACCCGGUGAUCUAGCCAUGGGCAGGUUGAAGGUUGGGUAACACUAACUGGAGGACCGAACCGACUAAUGUUGAAAAAUUAGCGGAUGACCUGUGGCUGGGGGUGAAAGGCCAAUCAAACCGGGAGAUAGCUGGUUCUCCCCGAAAGCUAUUUAGGUAGCGCCUCGUGAAUUCAUCUCCGGGGGUAGAGCACUGUUUCGGCUAGGGGGCCAUCCCGGCUUACCAACCCGAUGCAAACUGCGAAUACCGGAGAAUGUUAUCACGGGAGACACACGGCGGGUGCUAACGUCCGUCGUGAAGAGGGAAACAACCCAGACCGCCAGCUAAGGUCCCAAAGUCAUGGUUAAGUGGGAAACGAUGUGGGAAGGCCCAGACAGCCAGGAUGUUGGCUUAGAAGCAGCCAUCAUUUAAAGAAAGCGUAAUAGCUCACUGGUCGAGUCGGCCUGCGCGGAAGAUGUAACGGGGCUAAACCAUG